AUUGAACGCUAGCGGGAUGCUUUACACAUGCAAGUCGAACGGCAGCGCGGACUUCGGUCUGGCGGCGAGUGGCGAACGGGUGAGUAAUGUAUCGGAACGUGCCCAGUAGCGGGGGAUAACUACGCGAAAGCGUAGCUAAUACCGCAUACGCCCUACGGGGGAAAGCAGGGGAUCGUAAGACCUUGCACUAUUGGAGCGGCCGAUAUCGGAUUAGCUAGUUGGUGAGGUAACGGCUCACCAAGGCGACGAUCCGUAGCUGGUUUGAGAGGACGACCAGCCACACUGGGAAUGAGACACGGCCCAGAAUCCUACGGGAGGCAGCAGUGGGGAAUUUUGGACAAUGGGGGCAACCCUGAUCCAGCCAUCCCGCGUGUGCGAUGAAGGCAUUCGGGUUGUAAAGCACUUUUGGCAGGAAAGAAACGUCGCGGGCUAAUACCCCGUGGAACUGACGGUACCUGCAGAAUAAGCACAGGCUAAAUACGUG
rnacentral:rRNA from 1 species